rfam:Meloidogyne hapla strain VW9 Mh10g200708_Contig759, whole genome shotgun sequence.
AGCCUUGCGCUCGGGCAGUACAGCGUCCAAUGAGGCCUAGCCGAGGAGCUGUUAUUGCUGAUUGAAAACUUAUACCAAUUGCCCGCCUUGGCCUGCGAAAGCAGUGCUUUGUGCAAUUUUUGGACGCCCGAAAGGGC